GUGGGCAUAGCUCAGUUGGUUAGAGCACCGGAUUGUGGUUCCGGGGGUCGCGGGUUCAAGUCCCGUUGCUCACC
rnacentral:tRNA from 1 species